AGUGAACGCUGGCGGCAGGCCUAACACAUGCAAGUCGAACGGCAGCACAGUAAGAGCUUGCUCUUACGGGUGGCGAGUGGCGGACGGGUGACGAAUACAUCGGAAUCUACUCUUUCGGGGGGGAUAACGUAGGGAAACUUACGCUAAUACCGCAUACGACCUACGGGGGAAAGCAGGGGAUCGUCGGGCCUUGUGCGAGUGAAUGAGCCGAUGUCGGAUUAGCUCGUUGGCGGGGUAAAGGCCCACCAAGGCGACGAUCCGUAGCUGGUCUGAGAGGAUGAUCCGCCACCCUGGAACUGAGACACGGUCCAGACUCCUACGGGAGGCAGCAGUGGGGAAUAUUGGACAAUGGGCGCAAGCCUGAUCCAGCCAUACCGCGUGGGUGAAGAAGGCCUUCGGGUUGUAAAGCCCUUUUGUUGGGAAAGAAAAGCAGCAGGUUAAUCCCCCGCUGUUCUGACGGUACCCAAAGAAUAAGCACCGGCUAACUUCGUG
rnacentral:rRNA from 1 species